rnacentral:lncRNA from 1 species
CCAGCUCCCUGUUCAACCACUCUGCUCAGCCAAGAGGAGCAGGCAGUAAGAAAAAAGAAGUUAAAAUCAACCCACAGCAGAGGAGGGAGGGAGAGAGAGAGAGGGGGGAAAAAAAAAACGCCCUGGAAAUUUGGUUGAACGAGAAAUAGGAAAGGAGUGACAGAAUCCUAUUAGACUGCAAAGUUGUGACUGGAAGAACUGUUUUCUUGGACUGGGGAGAAAGGGAGAGGACACGUUUUCAAGGAUGCUCGAGCUGGUUUGAGGCUUCUUGGGCGCAAAGACUGCGCACAGAAGUCACGAAAGAAGAAGACCCACAGCAUCAGACUGAAGCCCUCGGCUUUGCUUGAGCAAUCCGAGGAAAACCAACUUAGAGUCCCAACGCACCAGGGCUUACAAAGAGGAAAGCAAACACAAGGUAUUCUAUGAAGUUAAAGCCCCAAUCCAUAUAAUUCCUUGUAUUUAUUUAUUUUAUACAUUUCUCAUACCUUGAUACAAAUUCAGAGGACAUACUAACAAUCCUGUGUUUUUCUCUCUAAUCAAUUAU